CAUUAAUGUAAUGAUCAACAGUAUUUGCCAUCCUAGGAUAAAAUGUCAUAGGAGGGGAAGUCCAAAAAGUGCUAACAUUUUGGUUUUGCUCUGAUGAAGAAAAACUUAACUGUGAAGUUCAGAAAUCACGUAUGAAACCAUAAACGACCUCCAUACUUAGCUGGAGAACUUGGAACGGAAGAAUGAGCUGGAACAACCUGCCCUGCUGUAUUAUCUCAGAGAAUAACACAAGGCUGCCAACAGCAAAAUUGAAGUUAUUUCAGAUCUUUCCAAAGUUCUAGACUCAAGAGAAAAGUCAAUUUUAAAAGAAGGUCACAGAAGAGACCCAAAAGGAAGAGUGCAACUUCUUCAGCUUUGCCAAAGACAUCUGGGAUUAGAGUAUUGAUGUUACACGUGGUAUGGAGUGUCUCUAGGGCACAGAAGAAUCCAAAGGCAAGCAUUUGAGGUAUGCAGACGACCUUGAGCAAAGAGGAUAGAAACUAUUUCCAUGGAAGAUGCUCCCCAUUGAUGACUUGACAUUAGCACUGAUCAGCCAUUCAGUUGGAUAGUCCCAAACAACUCUUCAGGAACUGUUGGAGGAUUUUUUUUUGAUUUUUGAAACCUAUCCAAAGGUUUUUUAUCUCAGAAAAUAGUGAUUAAAGAACCACUGAUCAUACAUUGGCACCUACUAUACCAAAUCAUCACAUCAGUAGAUGAACAAAACUACCAACACAAAAGAACAUCCAAGGAGACAAUCAGAAGAUUUGCUGUGAACCACACUUCCAGGAGGUGAUGUCAGCAAAUAAAGAAGCGGUGGUUUUAGACUUGAGCAUCUAAAUUCUCAUUAUUCCACAGACUGAUGUCAGCCAUCAGAACUGGGGAGGAUUUCCUGAGGUUUCACCAUGCUCUGAAUAGUUUUUCAUGAUUCCCACCUGGAAAUUCAAGAUGGUGGAAGAUGCUUAUGGCACAGGGAAAAAAGUAAAGAUGCCAGAUGAUAUGAACCCUCAGCAAUCUCUACAGCCAGAUGAGUCACACUCAUUGCCAUCCACAACAGCACUCUCCAAGGCCUGUGAAACAAUAAGGUUUCUAAAGCAUGAGUAGUCCUAUCUACAGUUGUUGAUACAAAUACUUAAGUAUUAAGACCCUGACGUAACUCUGAAGCUCAGCAGCACGCCAAUACUGAGGAAAGAAAAGGCUUUCAAGGAGAAAAGGAGCACUGAUUUCUCUCUGAGUUUGCAGAGCUACAAUAAUAGGACAUAUCACAUAUACCAAUUCCAAAGAUAGUUAUUCAUACCAUCUAUGAACAACUCUCACAAAUGUUACAGAGUUUGGGGCAAGUUUAUCUUUAUAAAGAAUUCAUGACAUACCUCCUUUCAAUCAUCUCACAUCCACCCACACUGACAUUUCACAAACCAAACUUAUCCAUAAUACCUCUCAGCACAAGGCUUUUUCUACACAUUUGUUCAGGUCAGCACGCAAAUGUUCUCACUUUCCAGUCUUAAAAAUAAAACAAAACAAAAACAACUACAAAACCCCACAAACUCCCACAUCCUUAUACAGAAGACUAUUCAAGGUCAAGAUCAAGCAAACAGACCUUUGUCCUCUUUUGUCCUCCUCUUAGUUUCUGCGAUACCUUCUUUGACACAGUGCAUUUUGUAUUUGCCAUCAGAAUGUUGCAAUUCUUGCAGCUUCUUUCUCCCUGGAAUAACAAGAUCAACCAGAAACAAAAUGGCAAAUUUUGAACAGUUUUGUCUACUUCCAUUGCAAAAAUAAGGAGAUAUGUCAUAAAAAUGAAAAAAUGAACGUUGAAAAAUUAAGUUAUAGAAAACCAAAUGCAGUCCUCUAUUACUGAGGAAAAAACUCACUGUACCUAAUUUAUAUCAAGAACUAUAUCAUGAUUUAUUCUUUCAUGGUUAUUCAAAAAAAAAAAAAAUUUUUUUUUUACAGCCAAUUUACUUCCUGUAUCUUAAUCACCUACUAAGUUGCCUACACCAGCUUGUGUUGUGUUUUUUUUUUUUUUUUUUCAAGGUAUAAAAACAGCUAAACAGUGCUUCCUGUAAUUAUGAGGCAACAGUUGUAUUUUUCUCUUUGGUGGACCUCAAUGUUAUACUUCACUUACAAGAAAAAAAAAGAAAAAAGGGAAAAAAAAAAAAAACAGAAAAAAGAAAAAAAGAACAACUAGAACUGUCUUUCUAUGUCAAAGG